UGUAUUGGAGAGGCCAGCUGUUCUUCAUGGCUUUUGUUGCAGUGACAGCUGGGGUAUAUUGUUCUUGCAAGAGUUGCUUUUCUUCUCUCUCUCUUAACUCUUAAGUCUUCUUCCUUCUUCUCCUCUCACUAUAUUUCUCUCUCCUCCCGUUUCUCCUCUACCCGCUCUCAUUCUCUAUCUCCUCCAUUGGAGCAGUUUCUGAGCUACAAAACCAUAAAAUUUAUGAUUUAAUUUUGUUUAUUUUUUGUGUUCAUCUCUUCAAUUAGAUUUUCCUUUUAUUUGACUGAUUAAAUUAUUGUUUAUUUCUGGGUUUUUUCCGCAGUUGAAUUCUUUGGGUGGUUACAGAAAUUCUUCCCCUUUUCUAUGAUCUAGAUUGUUGUUUUUAAUUUUUUUUUUUCAUUUUCUGCGUUUUUGUUGUUUUAAUUAGUAAGGAUUUGGGAGAUUGAUGAUUUUCAUCAGUUUUUUUUCCUUCGUAAUGCAGGUUUAGGUGAUGGUAAUUUGUGCGUGAAAAAUUAAAACAACAAAACGCCCCCAUUUGCGGCUCCCUUCCCUACAACAAAGGCCUCCUCCGAGCAGGUACCCAAAAUCAGUAAUUGGUACUAUUCACAAGCUAUUGGUGCCAUUUACAUAGAUACCCAAAAUCAGUAAUUGGUACUUGAUUUAUCUGUUUAUUUGUUUGAAGAAUUCUUUGGUUAAUUAUGGUUUGUUGAUUAAGGAAUUAUGGGUAUGUAUUAAGGAAUAAUGGGUUAAUUAUGCUGAAAUUUUGUUAAUGGCAUUUGGCAGAGUUGAAUUUAAUUUGAAUAUGAAAGCAAUUGAUUAACACUUACCCAGCAUAAAUUAUUUGCUUAGGAAUUAUUUUGUGGGUAUUAUGGUAGUGUGUGGGAUCGUUGUGGUGUGGUAGUGUGUGGGAUCGUUGUGCGGUGCUUGUGAGUUAGUUGUUGUGGUGCGAUCGUUAUUAUGUUCUUCUUCUUGAGUAUCACUUUUCCGUGCUUGUUGCUGCUGCAAGGGUUGUUUAAUUUGUUUUGUUUGGGGCUGCUGUGCUUCCUUCCUAAUUGAGUACUUGUGUGUGUGUUCUUGAUAUAUUGAUAACUAAUUCAAUGACUCUAGCUUACUAGCUUGCUACUAAGGUUUAUCUUCAUUCCCAUGGUUUCCUUUAUUCUAAUCAUUUUAGAAUUGAGAAUUUCUCAAUUUAAUUUGAUAAAAAAUUGGGGGUUUCUAAUUUAGUUGAGUUCGUUUAAAAUUGUGGGGAUUUUUCGAUUCAAUUCAAUACGUUUUAAAAUUGUAGUUUUCCGGUUUAAUUCAAUUAGUUCAUAAUUUUGGGGUGCUUUCGAUGCAAUUUGGUAAAAAAAUAGAGAUUUGAUUUCUCAGCAUUCUAAAGUUAGCAUAAAUAAGCUAUUUGCACUGCUUCCUUUCCUGCGAAGAAGGAAAGGCUUUUGAACCCUGUUCCAAGCUGGAAGACCUGAAUUUGGAGGUUAGACAGAACUCUGGAUUGAUGGAAAAGAGGUAUCUACUCCACUCUUACUAAUUUAGACCUUAGAAGUUUGGUGUGUCGGACUAAGGGAAUUUUGUAAUUCAGCGAAAGCUUGAGUCUAUUACUUAUAACCUGUAAGCCUGCCGUCAGCAGCUUAUAAUUUCAUAUCUUAUGAGUUCCGAUCCCGCUGUCCCACUGCCAGAUUUUAGUUUUCAUAGUAUCUUCUGGGUUACAAAAGAUUUUUUGCUUGGUUUUUCUAAUUCACUCUAGCAGUUAAUAAUUUUGUACCAUUUGUUGCACUUGUGUAUUAACCAAUGGUUAGAUUUGAUAUAGGAGGCAGUUUGGGUGUUAUUUAUUUUUUCAGGCACAACUAGGAUUUAUAAUGCAUGCCAUGGUAGGAUGGAAGGAACACAUAAAUAUAUAGUGAUAAUUGAUAAACAUGUCAACUGCUUGAACACAGGUCAAUUGGGAAUUAUUCCGGAUGACCUAGAGUCAUUAAUAGCAUGAGAGUUCAAGGAGUUACUAAUGUCAUGCAUAGACAAUUCACCAUCUAUAUUAUCUUAUUUGAAAGGCUUUUUGAGAUUCUGGAAUUUGAUUUUAAGUUUUCAAGCUUUUGCAAGUUUCAGCAUGCUGAAAAGCAGGGCUAGGUCAACAUUAAAGCAGAGGCAUAUGGACCUUGCAGUGCUACUUUAUGUGGUACUUUUAUAUGCAACAUUUGGGACAAGUUGUAUUCUUUUGCUUCUCAAUUCUAUAAUUUAGUCUUCAGUAUUUUUUAUUUCCUUGAAUAGGAGUGAGUUGGAUUUUUUGCCCUCCUUCAGAAUUAUUGCGUUUAAAGGGGUGCUACUUGCUGCUCAAUGAACUUUUUCUCCAAUACCAUAGCUCCCCUAGAUCCUUGCGUACCAAUUGCAUGUCCUAGAAGAUUCUGACUAAUUAUUUUGACGUUCAAUUUGGCUUAUAUGGCUUUAGGUUUGCUAGAUAAUUUGCUCUGACAAGCAGAGGAGCCAAGAACCCUCGCGUUACCAUCUUGGAACUGUUGCUCUUCGAACAUUUGAUGAGGGAAAUUGCCGUAGAAACGGAUAGACAAUGGAUCUCAAAAAGGUUGCAAGAUAAUUUGCUCUGACAAGCAGAGGAGUCAAGAGCCCUCUCGUAACCAUCUUGGAACUGUUGCUCUUGGUCUUCGGUAAAUUUUCAUUUAAAAAAAAGAUGACUAAUAUUUCUUUUAUUAAAAGAUUGUAUGAUUUCAAAAUUGAACUAAUUGUUUUGAAUUAUCUUUAAUGAUUAAACCUUUAUAACGCACUCUUGAUUCAAAAUGGACAGCCAUGUAUUACUUUAUUAUAAAUUAUUAGCAGAGUGCCCAACGAUCCGUAUAGUUUCUUUUGUAGUUUAUGUAAUUGUGAACUUGAAAUUCUGUAUUAUACUAUUAUUACACUUUAUGCUUUUGAUUAGGGAUCAAUAAGUGUGGUAACAGAUAAAACAAUGAGGUAUGCUUGCAAAAACAAGAAAACUAUCUCAGUAUUGAUCUAAGCUUGUAACAUACUAUUUUGUAUUAACUUUGUGGCAAAAGUUAUAUGAUGACACUACAAUUGUAAUAUCAAGAAUUCCUUUUCAACUAAAAUAUUUGGUAUUGGUUAAUUUGAGUUCUGGUCUGACUCUUUCAGGUUAAUACUCUAAGGUAGCAACUGCAGCUCAUUGCAUCAAGCAUAUAGCGAUGACAAUUAUGACUUCAAAUAAUAUUGAGCUUCAUAGCUUUUUAACUUAUUCUUUUACACAUUUUGAGAUUCUUCUAAUGUCGAGAAUUUUCUAGGCCCGGAAUUCUAUAUUCUUUGUAAAUUAUCUUCUGAUCAUGUGCUCUAUAUAGCUUGGUUUGAUUCUUGUCCAACUGGUUGUGUUAAUAUGUUCUUUUGGAUACAUGUAUAAUCUAUGAAUAUAAUCAAUUUGUUUUGUUUCGGAUAAUUUGGAGUGGAAGUUGCAUGUUAAAUUGUUAAUUGGUUGUA